UUAUAAGAACGUGUGAAAAGCGAGAAAUUUGCAUUCGGUUUCGGCCCGUAUCUUAGGGGUGAAAGUCCCUUUUCAUAUGUAAA
rnacentral:tRNA from 1 species